UAGGAAAUAAUAUAAGGGAAGUAUGAAGAGUUUUGAUCUCUUUUGUCUGGGUUCAACUCCCACUUUUCUAA
rfam:Calypte anna contig8959, whole genome shotgun sequence.